CCUACGGGUGGCAGCAGUGGGGAAUAUUGGACAAUGGGGGGAACCCUGAUCCAGCGACGCCGCGUGAGUGAAGAAGUAUUUCGGUAUGUAAAGCUCUAUCAGCAGGGAAGAAAAUGACGGUACCUGACUAAGAAGCCCCGGCUAACUACGUGCCAGCAGCCGCGGUAAUACGUAGGGGGCAAGCGUUAUCCGGAUUUACUGGGUGUAAAGGGAGCGUAGACGGUGCAGCAAGUCUGAUGUGAAAGGUCGGGGCCCAACCCCGGGACUGCAUUGGAAACUGUUGAACUGGAGUACAGGAGAGGUAAGCGGAAUGCCUAGUGUAGCGGUGAAAUGCGUAGAGAUUAGGAGGAACACCAAUAGCGUAGGCAGGUUGCUGGGACGGUUCUGACACUAAGGCUCGAAAGUGUGGGGAUCAAACAGGAUUAGAUACCCCAGUAGUC
rnacentral:rRNA from 1 species